CAUGGACAUUGCGCUCUUCCCCUGCAUCUCCACCCCGAGGGGACUGCUUUGCUUUUACUACCCACGCUUUCUUUCCCCCCCUUUUUCCCCCCUUUUUUUUUCUUUUUCUUUUGAU